rnacentral:lncRNA from 1 species
GAAAUGGCGGUGGUUGCUCCGAUGUACCAAAUUCACCCUCAGCAACCUGGUCAUUUUUCUUUACCGGCUCUUCAUGUAUUUGUGAGUAUGCAUUAGUUCUAGAAUGAUGCAGAAGUUGGGUUGUGUUUUCAUCUUCAACAUACAGAGGUUCACCAAACAAACUCAUCAUUAAGUUGUCUUCGUGACUAUGAAAUUCUCCAGUAGCUAAUUUAGACACAUUUUUUCCAGAUGGGGAGCUAGUCCUCAACACAGGUUCCAGAUUCCUUAUGGUGUUGCCUUCAUGACUAUGAGAUUCUCCAUUGCCAUGGUUAAACGUUUUAGUUUCAAAACCCGGUGGUUUCUCCAGUGUACCAAAUUCACCCUCAGCAACCUGGUCAUUUUUCUUUAAAGGCUCUGCAUGUAUUUGUGAGUAUGCAUUAGUUCUAGAAUGGUGCAGAAGUUGGGUUGUGUUUUCAUCUUCAACAUAUAGAGGUUCUCCAAACAAAUUCAUCAUCAUGUUCUCUUCAUGAUUAUGAGAUUCUCGAGUGGUUGACACAUUUUUUCCAGAUGUGGAGCUAGUCCUCAACACAGGUUCCAGAUUCCUUAUGUUGUUGCCUUCAUGACUAUGAGAUUCUCCGUUGCCAUGUUUAAACAUUUUAGUUUCAAAACCCGGUGGUUUCUCCAAUGUACCAAAUUCACCCUCAGCAACCUGGUCAUUUUUCUUAAAUGGCUCUUCAUG